CUUGAGGGCGACCAGAUCGACGGCGAGCAGCGGCAUGGCGUGGGUCUGCACGGUGCUGCGGUGACGAGCGGUCGUCCCUUGCCCAGCACCUCCGCCGACGCGCGGAGCAAAUCCUCCAACUGCCGCAGCAUGCUCGAGCUCUAUUGAUCCUCGACGGAGCUCGAUUCGGUCGUGCUCGAGAUCGAUUGGACUAAGCCAAGCAACCAAUCACUACCUUCACGCACUCACUACGCAAGCUAGGAGAAGUGGAGAUUUCAGGAUAUAUUGGCUCUUUGUUUGAUGCCUUUUUUGUCGUGCGCUCCACCAGCCGUUGGCGCUCUACGGACUGGAUUUUUACUUGUCUUCGAUGCCGGAUCCAUCCCAGUUUAUGGAUCAUUGGGAAGCAGUUCGCUGGUGAUGGGUAGAUCCCAACUUCGCAUUCCAAAAUUCUUAUGUGGAUGUAACAUCGACUCUUAAAUUGAAGUUGAGUGAGGCGGAAGGGAAGCGAAAACCUAUUCACUAAUUAGUGUAUGACAAAGUGAUGGAAUAAUGGAAGAUAACCGUUUCUAUGUU